AACAAAAAAUAUGAAUAUAUAAUUUUAUUUAUAUUUAAAUUAAUUGUUAUAUGUAUAUAUAUAUAUAUAUUAUUAAAAAGUGAAAUUUUAAUAAUUUAAAUAUAAUAUUUAUUUUAUAAUUAUGAUUUUAAAAAAUUUUUAUUAUAGACUA
rnacentral:rRNA from 1 species